GGGUGAGGAACACGUGGGUAAUCUGCCUUCGAGCGGGGGAUAACUAGUCGAAAGAUUAGCUAAUACCGCAUAAGACCACAAGAUCUGAGGAUCAAGGGGUCAAAGCCGCAAGGCACUUGAAGAUGAGCCCGCGUAAGAUUAGCUAGUUGGUGAGGUAAUGGCUCACCAAGGCGAUGAUCUUUAGCUGGUCUGAGAGGGUGAUCAGCCACACUGGAACUGAGACACGGUCCAGACUCCUACGGGAGGCAGCAGUAGGGAAUAUUGCGCAAUGGGGGCAACCCUGACGCAGCGACGCCGCGUGAGUGAUGAAGGCCUUCGGGUCGUAAAGCUCUGUUAUAUGGGAAUAAGAUCUGAAUGUACCAUGUGAGAAAGGAUCGGCUAACUUCGUGCCAGCAGCCGCGGUAAGACGAGGGAUCCUAGCGUUGCUCGGAAUCAUUGGGCGUAAAGCGGGUGUAGGUGGCUUUGUAAGUCAGGUGUGAAAGCCCAGGGCUCAACCCUGGAAGUGCAUUUGAUACUGCGAAGCUUGAGUGUGGGAGAGGCUACUGGAAUACCUGGUGUAGUGGUGAAAUACGUAGAUAUCAGGUGGAACACCGGAGGCGAAGGCGGGUAGCUGGCCCAACACUGACACUCAGACCCGAAAGCGUGGGGAUCAAACAGGAUUAGAUACCCUGGUAGUCCACGCCAUAAACGAUGGAUACUUGCCGUUGGAGGUAUUGACCCCUUCAGUGGCGUAGCUAACGCGUUAAGUAUCCCGCCUGGGGAGUACGGUCGCAAGAUUAAAACUCAAAGAAAUUGACGGGGGCCCGCACAAGCGGUGGAGCAUGUGGUUUAAUUCGAUGCAACGCGAAGAA
rnacentral:rRNA from 1 species